rnacentral:sRNA from 1 species
UGUGAACCAUACCAAACUGUUGCCUCGGCGGGGUCACGCCCCGGGUGCGUCGCAGCCCCGGAACCAGGCGCCCGCCGGAGGGACCAACCAAACUCUUUCUGUAGUCCCCUCGCGGACGUUAUUUCUUACAGCUCUGAGCAAAAAUUCAAAAUGAAUCAAAACUUUCAACAACGGAUCUCUUGGUUCUGGCAUCGAUGAAGAACGCAGCGAAAUGCGAUAAGUAAUGUGAAUUGCAGAAUUCAGUGAAUCAUCGAAUCUUUGAACGCACAUUGCGCCCGCCAGUAUUCUGGCGGGCAUGCCUGUCCGAGCGUCAUUUCAACCCUCGAACCCCUCCGGGGGGUCGGCGUUGGGGAUCGGGAACCCCUAAGACGGGAUCCCGGCCCCGAAAUACAGUGGCGGUCUCGCCGCAGCCUCUCCUGCGCAGUAGUUUGCACAACUCGCACCGGGAGCGCGGCGCGUCCACGUCCGUAAAACACCCAACUUCUGAAAUGUUGACCUCGGAUCAGGUAGGAAUACCCGCUGAACUUAAGCAUAUCAAUA